rnacentral:rRNA from 1 species
UUGGAGGGCAAGUCUGGUGCCAGCAGCCGCGGUAAUUCCAGCUCCAAUAGCGUAUAUUAAAGUUGUUGCAGUUAAAAAGCUCGUAGUUGAGUUUCGGGGUUAGUAGGUUGGUCAUGCCUCUGGUAUGUACUGGUCUCACUGAUUCCUCCUUCCUGAUGAGCCGUAAUGCCAUUAAUUUGGUGUUGCGGGGAAUUUGGACUGUUACUUUGAAAAAAUUAGAGUGUUUAAAGCAAGCUAACGCUUGAAUACAUUAGCAUGGAAUAAUGAAAUAGGACGUUCGAUCCUAUUUUGUUGGUUUCUAGGAUUGACGUAAUGAUUAAUAGGGAUAGUUGGGGGCAUUAGUAUUCAAUUGUCAGAGGUGAAAUUCUUGGAUUUAUUGAAGACUAACUACUGCGAAAGCAUUUGCCAAGGAUGUUUUCAUUAAUCAAGAACGAAAGUUAGGGGAUCGAAGACGAUCAGAUACCGUCGUAGUCUUAACCAUAAACUAUGCCGACUAGGGAUCGGAUGAUGUUAAUUUUUUAAUGACUCAUUCGGCGCCUUACGGGAAAC